rnacentral:tRNA from 1 species
AAGAAAUUAGUUUAAAGAAAAUUUAAAUUCGUCAAAUUUAAGAUACUAACUUAGUAUUUCUUU